GCCACGGUGGUCUAGCGGUUAGAACGCUGGUCUUGCAAUCCUGGGGUCUCGGGUUCGAUUCCCGGCGGUGCCC
rfam:Zootermopsis nevadensis contig23649, whole genome shotgun sequence.